rnacentral:rRNA from 1 species
GAGUAACGCGUGAGUAACCUGCCCUGGAGUGGGGGACAACAGUUGGAAACGACUGCUAAUACCGCAUAAGCCCACGGCCCGGCAUCGGGCUGAGGGAAAAGGAUUUAUUCGCUUCAGGAUGGACUCGCGUCCAAUUAGCUAGUUGGUGAGGUAACGGCCCACCAAGGCGACGAUUGGUAGCCGGACUGAGAGGUUGAACGGCCACAUUGGGACUGAGACACGGCCCAGACUCCUACGGGAGGCAGCAGUGGGGGAUAUUGCACAAUGGGGGAAACCCUGAUGCAGCGACGCCGCGUGGAGGAAGAAGGUUUUCGGAUUGUAAACUCCUGUCGUUAGGGACGAUAAUGACGGUACCUAACAAGAAAGCACCGGCUAACUACGUGCCAGCAGCCGCGGUAAAACGUAGGGUGCAAGCGUUGUCCGGAAUUACUGGGUGUAAAGGGAGCGCAGGCGGACCGGCAAGUUGGAAGUGAAAACUAUGGGCUCAGCCCAUAAAUUGCUUUCAAAACUGCUGGCCUUGAGUAGUGCAGAGGUAGGUGGAAUUCCCGGUGUAGCGGUGGAAUGCGUAGAUAUCGGGAGGAACACCAGUGGCGAAGGCGACCUACUGGGCACCAACUGACGCUGAGGCUCGAAAGCAUGGGUAGCAAACAGGAUUAGAUACCC